rnacentral:rRNA from 1 species
UGGGGAAUUUUGGACAAUGGGGGAAACCCUGAUCCAGCCAUCCCGCGUGUGCGAUGAAGGCCUUCGGGUUGUAAAGCACUUUUUGCAGGAAAGAAACGUCAUGGGUUAAUACCCAGAGAAACUGACGGUACCUGCAGAAUAAGCACCGGCUAACUACGUGCCAGCAGCCGCGGUAAUACGUAGGGUGCAAGGGUUAAUCGGAAUUACUGGGCGUAAAGCGUGCGCAGGCGGUUCGGAAAGUAAGAUGUGAAAUCCCAGAGCUCAACUUUGGAACUGCAGUGUUAACUACCUGGCUAGAGUGUGUCAGAGGGAAGUGGAAUUCCGCGUGUAGCAGUAAAAUGCGUAGAUAUGCGGAGGAAAACCGAUGGCGAAGGCAGCCGCCAGGGAUAACACUGACGCUCAUGCACGAAAGCUUGGGGAGCAAACAGA